rnacentral:rRNA from 1 species
AGUGAACGCUGGCGGUAGGCCUAACACAUGCCAGUCGAACGGCAGCACAGUAAGAGCUUGCUCUUACGGGUGGCGAGUGGCGGACGGGUGAGGAAUACAUCGGAAUCUACUUUUUCGUGGGGGAUAACGUAGGGAAACUUACGCUAAUACCGCAUACGACCUACGGGUGAAAGCAGUGGAUCUUCGGACUUUGCGCGAUCUAAUGAGCCGGUUUCGGAUCAGCUAGUUGGCGGGGUAAAGGCCCACCAAGGCGUCGAUCCGUAGCUGGUCUGAGAGGAUGAUCAGCCACACUGGAACUGAGACACGGUCCAGACUCCUACGGGAGGCAGCAGUGGGGAAUAUUGGAAAAGGGGCGAAAGCCUGAUCCAGCCAUACCGCGUGGGUGAAGAAGGCCUUCGGGUUGUAAAGCCCUUUUGUUGGGAAAGAAAAGCAGCAGGUUAAUAACCCGCUGUUCGGACGGUACCCAAAGAAUAAGCACCGGCUAACUUAGU